GCUCUAUCUCACCCACGGAGGGAAAAGUGUGGAGGGAGCUCAUAGAACUGGUGAUAAAGAAAUUACGGGAAGUACAUAAAAUCUUUUUGCUUCGAACAGCUGGGAUCGCCACCAGUAAGGCUGUCCUACUACAUUGAUUUGGAACGGACUAGGCGUUAGGUGCUUACUGGCGUGGGGGUCGAGAUAUGGGGAUGCUUGUGGAGGAGCUAACAAGCUACAAAUUGGAACCAACGGUUACAAAUACCCCGUCAUCCCAGUUCAAAAUGAAUGCUAUUCAUUCAUUUUGACUAGGCAGGAGGUUUAACAUAAAUAAAACCGUAAAUCAACAUAUAAAUUAUUUUGAUUUUCCAAAACAAAUUAUGUUGCAUAUUAUUUGGCAUCACUGCCGACGCGUUACUCUUCGACGAUUAUGUCAAGAAAGCGUUACGGUGUCUUUCACCAAUACAAAAGCACAAGAAAUGUCAAACGUAGAAUCAGAACAACAAAAAAAAACGGAAUAAUAACUUGUUAUGGAAGCAGUGCGAAGCAACAGUAAGUGGAAUCGAUGGCAAAUUAAAAACGGAACAAAACAAGUGGAUGGGAAUUUAACUUCAUUUGUAACAGCCUGCUCGCAGAAAAAUGCAGUGAAAGCAGCCAUUAGUAUCGAAGAUGAAACAGAAUUCCCCUGGCUUUAGGUCGGCGGCGGAGAAAACACCGAUGGAUUUGCCGUUUUCGUCUGCCAGCUCGUAGGCGGACGUACCAACCCGAGCUAUGACGGUGCAUGGGAGGUAGCAAGGUCCCAGCUUGGCAUUAUAGUGAUGGGGGGCAGAUGACUGGCGAAAGUUUCGCUUGUACACCUUUUGCCCUACCAUGUACACAGGUUUUUGUAAACGAGUUUGUAAAUAGACUGGUCAAUUUGAA